rnacentral:rRNA from 1 species
UACCAGCACCCCGAGUGGUCGGGACGUUUAUUGGGCCUAAAGCAUCCGUAGCCGGUUCUCCAAGUCUUCCGUUAAAUCCACCUGCUUAACAGAUGGGCUGCGGAAGAUACUAUGGAGCUAGGAGGCGGGAGAGGCAAGCGGUACUCGAUGGGUAGGGGUAAAAUCCGUUGAUCCAUUGAAGACCACCAGUGGCGAAGGCGGCUUGCCAGAACGCGCUCGACGGUGAGGGAUGAAAGCUGGGGGAGCAAACCGG